UAAGUAGGCGGAGGAAAUGACACAAACAUGGAUUCACUGAGUAACUGCGAGUGACAUGUGAUUUGCUCACAGCUGAUAUUCUUUGCUGUCUGCUUUGGCAUGAGGACUUUGAGUGCGGUGCCAAUGGUGGUGUAAGUGUGAGCCAUCUUUGAAAAGAGGAGAGUGUGCACUGACAAGGGUGAGAAGCCUGUGUGUGCUUGCAAAAUCUCCAUAUGGGGGUCACGCUUUGAGAAUCAUGCUCUUAAAGUGGGUGGUAGACUCUUCUCAAAGCUGAGUACAGAACUGGGACCGACAGGGAAGAAGUACCAUGAGGGAAGUGUGAAAAGGACUUUGGAAAGAGACUUAAAAGAGCCUGUACUUGCUGAAGGAUAUGCAUACAGCAUGCUUGCAUGUGAGAUGGUUGCUGUGUGUAUGAGUCUGACUUUGGCUGGAUGGCCAUGGCCGUGUGCCAUGGACACUUGGCCACCCAAUGUGUAUCCUCUUGUGUGUGCCAGCAUGUGGGAGACAGUCAGUGUUUGAGUGCAGUGGUUGCUGUGUCUGGGGAUACAUCAGAUGUGCACUCAAAGAUCUGAGCAUGUUGAGAAGCAGGUGCAGAAGGGCCCUCCUGUCUGUAUGACCCGUCUUGAAACACGGACCAAGGAGUCUAGCAUGAGUGCAAGCAUAUGGGACCGAAGGCUCUGUGUGCAAUGAAGGUGGAGUCCCAGAUUUGUGCAUGAGUGUUCAAGCAAGCAGGAGGACAAGGUUUGAGUCUGAGCAUUCCUGACAGGACCCGAAAGAUGGUGAACUAUGCCCGGAAAGGGCCAAGUCAGGGGAAACUCUGGUGGAGGCUCGUAGCGUUACUGACGUGCAAAUCGUUCGUCACACCUGGGUAUGGGGGCGAAAGACUAAUCGAACCAUCUAGUAGCUGGUUCCCUCUGAAGUUUCCCUCAGGAUAGCUGAACUUGCAGGACUUUCACCAGGUAAAGCGAAUGAUUGGAGGAAUUGGGGGUUGCAGACCUUUGACCUAUUCUCAAACUUUUAAUGGGUGUGUUGUGUGGUUGCUUAGCUGAACCAACAGCUAAUGAUGACUCUUAGUGGGCCACUUUUGGUAAGCAGAACUGGCGAUGAGGGGUGAACCUGAUGAUGGGUUAAGGCACUGAAGUUCUUGCUCAUCAGAAACUGUAAAGGGUGUUGGCUCAUUCUGACAGCAGGUCGGUGGUCAUGGAAGUUGAAAUCCGCUUGGGAGUGU
rnacentral:rRNA from 1 species